rnacentral:rRNA from 1 species
UGGGGAAUAUUGCGCAAUGGGCGAAAGCCUGACGCAGCAACGCCGCGUGAGUGAUGAAGGCCUUCGGGUCGUAAAGCUCUGUCGGAGGGAACGAAUGCUCUUGAGGUUAACAGCCUCGGGAGGUGACGGUACCCUCAAAGGAAGCACCGGCUAACUCUGUGCCAGCAGCCGCGGUAAUACAGAGGGUGCAAGCGUUGUUCGGAAUCAUUGGGCGUAAAGGGUCCGUAGGUGGCCUAACAAGUCUGAUGUGAAAUCCCAUGGCUCAACCGUGGAACUGCAUUGGAAACUGUUGGGCUUGAGAACCGCAGAGGUAAAGGGAAUUCCCGGUGUAAGGGUGAAAUCUGUAGAUAUCGGGAGGAACACCAGUGGCGAAGGCGCUUUACUGGGCGGUUACUGACACUGAGGGACGAAAGCAAGGGGAGCAAACAGGAUUAGAUACCCGGGUAGUCCCUGAGCGGGCUGGCAAGGCGCAU